UGCAAUUAACAGAUUUAGGGGGAAAAUGAAACUAUAAUGUACCGUAACGUAACUAGGUUUCUCCGUCGCUCAGUUUCCUCCGCUACAGCCGCCGUCUCCGUCUCGGAGUUCUUCAUCGCCGGCGAGGCAAAAUUUUCUCUCGUUGUCUUCUCUGUUUUGCAUCAUUUUUCUUCUCUCUGUUUCCCAACCUAGCCUCUCUGUCGGGCAAAUCUGAGAUCCACUUCAGUUUUCAAAUCCAGACAUCAAUAGAUUUGCUGUUACAGUCGAGAUCAAGUGGCAAAGAUUCAUCUAAUGACCAGAAGGAGGAGGAAUUAACAGUGUCUCAACUAUGCUUGCGAGUAUGGAUCAGAAACUCCUCCUCCUGUUGAAGAGGAUGAAGAUUAGAUUAUGUUUCGGAUGAGGAACAAAAGCGGAAGAACCCGGGAAGAAAACAGAAGAUCGGGCAUUGAAACAGCUUGAUAGUUAGGUGACUGAUAAGAGGCAGAAGAAGAUAGAUAGAGAUGGCUGAAAGAUUUAGCUCUUCAGGCUGCAUUAUUGCCGCCAAGAAGGAAGCCUGAAGAAGCUGUCGUAUUCAUCUCUUUCUCAGAGCUGUGACUGUGAGGUUGACGAAGAGAUCAUACAUGGCUUCCCUUCAAAAUGCACGCCCUUUACACGAUCUUGAUUCGAUUGAUCCGUAAAAAAAACUAUUAUAUUUUCCCGAUUUUGCAGAAAAUAAACGAACUGUUAGAUUGUUA